rnacentral:rRNA from 1 species
AUUGAACGCUGGCGGCAGGCCUAACACAUGCAAGUCGAGCGAGCGGCGGACGGGUGAGUAAUGUCUGGGAAACUGCCUGAUGGAGGGGGAUAACUACUGGAAACGGUAGCUAAUACCGCAUACCAUCUGUUGUGCCCAGAUGGGUUUGGCUAGUAGGUGGGGUAACGGCUCACCUAGGCGACGAUCCCUAGCUGGGCUGAGAGGAUGACCAGGCAGACCGGAACUGAGACAAGGGCCAGACGCCUACGGGAGGCAGGAGGGGGGAAUAUUGCACAAUGGGCGCAAGGCUGAUGAAGCCAUGCCGAGUGUGGGAAGAAGGCCUUCGGGUUGUAAAGAACGUUCAGCGGGGAGGCGUUACCCGGAGAAGAAGCACCGGCUAACUCCGUGCCAGCAGCCGCGGUAAUUC